UUUGUGCUCGUGUAGUAAAUUAGAGAUGAUGUAAUGUUAAAAUGAAGACUACAAACCCCAUCAUUCUACCAAACUAGAUGGAAAUCCAGGUGUUACUAGAACAAAGUUCUCAUAAGAAGCUUGAAUGGGGAAUGUUCCCUGUCCAGGUUUCCUCAUGUUGUUUGCAGACCUCCUCUCCUUGUGACUCUAGGACUGAAGUCUCCAUUUUCUUGUUGGCUAUCAUCUGGGGGCUCUCAGUCCCUAAAGGCUGACCAAAGUCCUGUUACCUAGUCCUAUCCACAGUCAGUAAAAAGCAAGGGCUUUCAGUCAUACAGAUACAAGAAAACGAAUUCUGCCAACAACGUGAAUGCCCUUUGAAGUGGAUCAUUGCCUAGUGGAGUCUCUGGAUAAGCAAGCAGCCUGACUGAAGAACUGAUUGUAGCCUUGUGAUCCCCUGAGUAGAGGACCCAGGACACAAAAGGAUGAAGAAGACACGAGCUUCAGAAGCUGAUGGCCUGGUGGAAACAUAGUACAGGAAUACGAGCCCCUAGAAGAAUCCUCACCUAUAAAUUCGAAUUGAUAGGGACAUAUGAGAAAGAAAUUACAGCGGUUUGAAAAGGAGAUGGGUUUCAUCCAGAAAGAAAGAAGACAAGAAAAGUCUUCCUUGAAGGAAUCUCAUUUGACGUGGACUCAAAGGACAGUGAUUGGCAUCUGAAUGGAAUACUUUUGAAAAGAUCAUCCUUGUAAGUUACAGACCUCUUCCCUUCAUCACUCCCAUGAUGCUCUUGUCCUACAUCGUCCCCUAGGCAGUAACGGCAGAAAUGCAAGCCAGCCAAAGACUUAGAGCUAAUCCACAGAGGAAUAAGAUCAAGCCAAGAUAUCAGAAGAGGGACUGGCUGUUCAGAUCAUAACUAAAGAGGAUGGAGAAGACCAGCUCUAAGCCAGAAAACAAAACCUUGGAGGAAACCAAAUCAGGGAAAGCAUGGACGCAGUCCCCCACUACCACGAAUUGUGCAGACGAAUUUCCCACAUUUGGGAAAACUGCAGGAGUCAGCACAUGUGGAGUGCAAUGGAUAAGCCUUGCCCUGGGAAAAUCACCUUUGUGAUCAUGGUAUCGCCCCUGCCAGGUAAGUCUGGGACUUGAAUUUAAAUUGAUCUUAUAUAUUGGAACUUUAAGAUACAGUUCUGCUUUGUUUUUCCCUUGAAAUGAGAAUCACCUCAUAAAUUCAAAUACCUGGGCUCAUGAUUACUUUUUCAAUAUGGUAGGGAGUUAAGAUUUCAUUCAUUCAGUAAAUAUUUAUUAAAUAUCUAUUAGAUAUAAGAUGCUGCUGCUGUAUUAGGUACUGGAAAUUGAGAGAGAAAUAAGAGGAAGCCUCUGCCCUUUCAGAGCUUACAGCCAAGCAAAGAAAGUAGA